GACAGAGGGGGCGAGCGUUGUCCGGAGUCACUGGGCGUAAAGCGCGCGCAGGCGGCAACCUAAGUGUCGUGUGAAAGCCCCCGGCUCAACCGGGGGAGGCCAUGGCAAACUGGGUCGCUCGAGCUGCGGAGAGGCCCCUCGAAUUGCCGGUGUAGCGGUGAAAUGCGUAGAGAUCGGCAGGAAGACCAAGGGGGAAGCCAGGGGGCUGGCCGCUGGCUGACGCUGAGGCGCGACAGCGUGGGGAGCGAACCGG
rnacentral:rRNA from 1 species